rnacentral:rRNA from 1 species
CCUACGGGGUGCAGCAGUGGGGAAUAUUGGGCAAUGGGCGCAAGCCUGACCCAGCAAUGCCGCGUGAAGGAAGAAGGCUUUCGGGUUGUAAACUUCUUUGACAGGGGACGAGCAGAAGACGGUACCCUGAAAACAAGCCACGGCUAACUACGUGCACGCAGCCGCGGUAAUACGUAGGUGGCAAGCGUUGUCCGGAUUUACUGGGUGUAAAGGGCGUGUAGCCGGGAAGGCAAGUCAGAUGUGAAAUCUGGAGGCUCAACCUCCAAAUUGCAUUUGAAACUGUUUUUCUUGAGUACUGGAGAGGCAGACGGAAUUCCUUGUGUAGCGGUGAAAUGCGUAGAUAUAAGGAGGAACACCAGUGGCGAAGGCGGUCUGCUGGACAGCAACUGACGGUGAGGCGCGAAAGCGUGGGGAGCAAACAGGAUUAGAUACCCCUGUAGUC